rnacentral:rRNA from 1 species
GUACACAAAAAUGCACAUAUUGUGAGCUCGAUGAGUAGGGCGGGACACGUGGUAUCCUGUCUGAAUAUGGGGGGACCAUCCUCCAAGGCUAAAUACUCCUGACUGACCGAUAGUGAACCAGUACCGUGAGGGAAAGGCGAAAAGAACCCCGGCGAGGGGAGUGAAAAAGAACCUGAAACCGUGUACGUACAAGCAGUGGGAGCCUCUUUAUGGGGUGACUGCGUACCUUUUGUAUAAUGGGUCAGCGACUUAUAUUCUGUAGCAAGGUUAACCGAAUAGGGGAGCCGAAGGGAAACCGAGUCUUAACUGGGCGUUAAGUUGCAGGGUAUAGACCCGAAACCCGGUGAUCUAGCCAUGGGCAGGUUGAAGGUUGGGUAACACUAACUGGAGGACCGAACCGACUAAUGUUGAAAAAUUAGCGGAUGACUUGUGGCUGGGGGUGAAAGGCCAAUCAAACCGGGAGAUAGCUGGUUCUCCCCGAAAGCUAUUUAGGUAGCGCCUCGUGAAUUCAUCUCCGGGGGUAGAGCACUGUUUCGGCAAGGGGGUCAUCCCGACUUACCAACCCGAUGCAAACUGCGAAUACCGGAGAAUGUUAUCACGGGAGACACACGGCGGGUGCUAACGUCCGUCGUGAAGAGGGAAACAACCCAGACCGCCAGCUAAGGUCCCAAAGUCAUGGUUAAGUGGGAAACGAUGUGGGAAGGCCCAGACAGCCAGGAUGUUGGCUUAGAAGCAGCCAUCAUUUAAAGAAAGCGUAAUAGCUCACUGGUCGAGUCGGCCUGCGCGGAAGAUGUAACGGGGCUAAACCAUGCACCGAAGCUGCGGCAGCGACACUAUGUGUUGUUGGGUAGGGGAGCGUUCUGUAAGCCUGUGAAGGUGGCCUGUGAGGGUUGCUGGAGGUAUCAGAAGUGCGAAUGCUGACAUAAGUAACGAUAAAGCGGGUGAAAAGCCCGCUCGCCGGAAGACCAAGGGUUCCUGUCCAACGUUAAUCGGGGCAGGGUGAGUCGACCCCUAAGGCGAGGCCGAAAGGCGUAGUCGAUGGGAAACAGGUUAAUAUUCCUGUACUUGGUGUUACUGCGAAGGGGGGACGGAGAAGGCUAUGUUGGCCGGGCGACGGUUGUCCCGGUUUAAGCGUGUAGGCUGGUUUUCCAGGCAAAUCCGGAAAACCAAGGCUGAGGCGUGAUGACGAGGCACUACGGUGCUGAAGCGACAAAUGCCCUGCUUCCAGGAAAAGCCUCUAAGCAUCAGGUAACAUCAAAUCGUACCCCAAACCGACACAGGUGGUCAGGUAGAGAAUACCAAGGCGCUUGAGAGAACUCGGGUGAAGGAACUAGGCAAAAUGGUGCCGUAACUUCGGGAGAAGGCACGCUGAUAUGUAGGUGAAGCGACUUGCUCGUGGAGCUGAAAUCAGUCGAAGAUACCAGCUGGCUGCAACUGUUUAUUAAAAACACAGCACUGUGCAAACACGAAAGUGGACGUAUACGGUGUGACGCCUGCCCGGUGCCGGAAGGUUAAUUGAUGGGGUUAGCGGUAACGCGAAGCUCUUGAUCGAAGCCCCGGUAAACGGCGGCCGUAACUAUAACGGUCCUAAGGUAGCGAAAUUCCUUGUCGGGUAAGUUCCGACCUGCACGAAUGGCGUAAUGAUGGCCAGGCUGUCUCCACCCGAGACUCAGUGAAAUUGAACUCGCUGUGAAGAUGCAGUGUACCCGCGGCAAGACGGAAAGACCCCGUGAACCUUUACUAUAGCUUGACACUGAACAUUGAGCCUUGAUGUGUAGGAUAGGUGGGAGGCUUUGAAGUGUGGACGCCAGUCUGCAUGGAGCCGACCUUGAAAUACCACCCUUUAAUGUUUGAUGUUCUAACGUUGGCCCGUAAUCCGGGUUGCGGACAGUGUCUGGUGGGUAGUUUGACUGGGGCGGUCUCCUCCUAAAGAGUAACGGAGGAGCACGAAGGUUGGCUAAUCCUGGUCGGACAUCAGGAGGUUAGUGCAAUGGCAUAAGCCAGCUUGACUGCGAGCGUGACGGCGCGAGCAGGUGCGAAAGCAGGUCAUAGUGAUCCGGUGGUUCUGAAUGGAAGGGCCAUCGCUCAACGGAUAAAAGGUACUCCGGGGAUAACAGGCUGAUACCGCCCAAGAGUUCAUAUCGACGGCGGUGUUUGGCACCUCGAUGUCGGCUCAUCACAUCCUGGGGCUGAAGUAGGUCCCAAGGGUAUGGCUGUUCGCCAUUUAAAGUGGUACGCGAGCUGGGUUUAGAACGUCGUGAGACAGUUCGGUCCCUAUCUGCCGUGGGCGCUGGAGAACUGAGGGGGGCUGCUCCUAGUACGAGAGGACCGGAGUGGACGCAUCACUGGUGUUCGGGUUGUCAUGCCAAUGGCACUGCCCGGUAGCUAAAUGCGGAAGAGAUAAGUGCUGAAAGCAUCUAAGCACGAAACUUGCCCCGAGAUGAGUUCUCCCUGACUCCUUGAG